UACGUAGGGUGCAAGCGUUAAUCGGAAUCACUGGGCGUAAGGGGCGCGUAGGCGGCCAUUCAAGUCGGGGGUGAAAGCCCAGGGCUCAACCCUGGAAUUGCCUUCGAUACUGUUUGGCUGGAGACCGGAAGAGGUAAGUGGAACUGCGAGUGUAGAGGUGAAAUUCGUAGAUAUUCGCAAGAACACCAGUGGCGAAGGCGGCUUACUGGUCCGGUUCUGACGCUGAGGCGCGAAAGCGUGGGGAGCAAACAGG
rnacentral:rRNA from 1 species